CCUCCAGUUCUCCCAGUGACCCUCCCAGUACCCCCAGUGCCCCACCAGUGCUCCCCCAGUACCCUCCAGUUCUCCCAGUGGGCCCUCCCAGUACCCCCAGUGCCCCCCCAGUGCUCCCCCAGUAUCCUCCAGUGCUCCCAGUGCCCCUUCCAGUACUCCCAGUGCCCCCCCCGUUUUCCCAGUGCCCCUCCCAGUGCCCCUCUGUACCCUCCAGUUCUCCCAGUGCCCCCUCCCAGUGCUCCCAGUGCCCUCCCACUGCCCCUUCCCCGCCUCCCCAGUCGCCCAGCAUCCUCCCAGUUCCCCAGGGCUGGGUUGUGACUUAUGGGGCAGGGCCGUGGGGCAGGGCCAGGGUCAUGGCCGUGGGGCAGGGAUGUGGGGCAAGGGUGUGGGGCGGGGCUGUGGGGCGGGGUCAUGGCCGUGGGGCAGUUAUGGGGAAGGGNNNNNNNNNNGGUGUGGGGCAGGGGUGUGGGGCAGUUAUGGGGCAGGGCUCUGGGGCAGAGGUGUGGGGCAGGGUUAUGGGGCAGGGUCACGGCUAUGGGGCAAGGCUGUAAGGCAGUGCUAUGGGGCAGGGCUAUGGGGUGAGGUUAUGGGGCAGGGUUAUGGGGCAGAACCAUGGCUAUGGGGCAUGGUUAUGGGGCACGGUUAUGGGGCUGGGUCACAGCUAUGGGGCAGGGCUAUGGGGCGAGGUUAUGGGGCAGGGGCACAGCUAUGGGGCAGGGCUAUGGGGCGAGGUUAUGGGGCAGGGGCACAGCUAUGGGGCAGGGCUAUGGGGCGAGGUUAUGGGGCAGGGGCACAGCUAUGGGGCAGGGCUAUGGGGCGAGGUUAUGGGGCAGGGGCACAGCUAUGGGGCAGGGCUAUGGGGCGAGGUUAUGGGGCAGGGGCACAGCUAUGGGGCAGGGCUGUAAGGCAGUGUUAUGGGGCAGGGCCGUGGGGCAGGGUUAUGAGGCAGGGCUAUGGGGCAAGGUUAUGGGGCAGGGCCAUGGCUAUGGGGCAAGGCUAUGGGGCAGGGCUAUGGGGCAGAACCAUGACUAUGGGGCAGGGUUAUGGGGCAAGGUUGUGGGGCAGGGUUAUGGGGCAAAACCAUGGUUGUGGGGCAGGACUAUGGGGCAGGGCCAUGGCUAUGGGGUGAGGUUAUGGGGCAGGGCUAUGGGGCAGAACCAUGGUUAUGGGGCAAGGCUAUGGGACAUGGUUAUGGGGCAGGGCUAUGGGGUAGGGUUAUGGGGCACGGUUAUGGGGCACGGUUAUGGGGCAUGGUUAUGGGACAGGGUCACAGCUAUGGGGCAGGGCUGUAAGGCAGUGCUAUGGGGGCAGGGUUAUGGGGCAGGGUUAUGGGGCAAGNNNNNNNNNNGGUGACAUCCCCCUGCCUUUGCCCCCUGUGUCCCAUCCUGCUCCCGGUUGGGAUCAGGGGUGGUGGGGGGCACCGGGCCCCAUGUCCCUGCUGCCACAGCCCUAGGACACCGUGCCACAGGCAGGAGGUGAUGGCAGGGCCAGCAGGCAUGGGCCCCCCCACGGCGCUUUCCCUUGGCUGGAGCCACCCUCUGCCCAGCCCAAAGUCCCGCAGCGCCUCACGGCCCGGGCAAAGUCUUGCGGAGAAGCAAAGCUCUCCGCAGCCAUCCGAGCCCCAGGGGGGGGGGGGAGGCGGGGGGGGGGCCGAGCCCCCCCGUGGGGACAGCUGUGGGGCCGGGGCAGGUGGCGGCGCCCGAAAUAGCCCCACAAAUCCCCCGAGCGGAAACAGGGGGGGCCGGG
rnacentral:lncRNA from 1 species